rnacentral:rRNA from 1 species
UGCCAGCCGCCGCGGUAAUACGGAGGGGGUUAGCGUUGUUCGGAAUUACUGGGCGUAAAGCGUACGUAGGCGGAUCAGAAAGUAUAGGGUGAAAUCCCGGGGCUCAACCCCGGAACUGCCUUGUAAACUCCUGGUCUUGAGUUCGAGAGAGGUGAGUGGAAUUCCGAGUGUAGAGGUGAAAUUCGUAGAUAUUAGGAAGAACACCAGUGGCGAAGGCGACUUUCUGGCUCGUAACUGACGCUGAGGCACGAAAGCGUGGGGAGCAAACAGGAUUAGAUA